UACGGAGGGUGCAAGCGUUAUCCGGAUUCACUGGGUUUAAAGGGUGCGUAGGCGGCGCGGAAAGUAGGGUGUGAAAUCCCUCGGCUCAACCGAGGAACUGCGCUCUAAACUACCGUGCUCGAGGGAGAUAGAGGUAAGCGGAACUUAGGGUGGAGCGGUGAAAUGCGUUGAUAUCCUAAGGAACACCGGUGGCGAAAGCGGCUUACUGGAUCUCUUCUGACGCUGAGGCACGAAAGCUAGGGUAGCGAACGGG
rnacentral:rRNA from 1 species